rfam:Stegodyphus mimosarum contig118249, whole genome shotgun sequence.
GCCUUCGUGGUGUACUGCUCAACACGUUCGAUGCGUAUUCGAGAGGUCCGUGGUUCGAGUCCCGGCGAGGGCA